rnacentral:rRNA from 1 species
CGGAGGGUGCAAACGUUGCUCGGAAUCAUUGGGCGUAAAGCGCACGUAGGCGGUUCGUUAAGUCGGAUGUGAAAGCCCUCAGCUCAACUGAGGAAGUGCAUUCGAAACUGGCGAACUUGAAUAUGGAAGAGGGUCGCGGAAUUCCCGGUGUAGAGGUGAAAUUCGUAGAUAUCGGGAGGAACACCAGUGGCGAAGGCGGCGACCUGGGCCAAUAUUGACGCUGAGGUGCGAAAGCGUGGGGAGCGAACAGGAUUAGAUACCCUGGUAGUCCACGCCGUAAACGAUGGAUGCUAGAUGUUGGGGGUAUUGACCCCUCCAGCGUCGCAGUUAACGCAUUAAGCAUCCCGCCUGGGGAGUACGGCCGCAAGGCUA